GCGGCGUGCUUAACACAUGCAAGUCGANNNNNNAGGCCCCUUCGGGGGUACUCGAGUGGCGAACGGGUGAGUAACACGUGGGUAAUCUGCCCUGCACUUCGGGAUAAGCCUGGGAAACUGGGUCUAAUACCGGAUAUGACCACGAGGCGCAUGCCUUGUGGUGGAAAGCUUUUGCGGUGUGGGAUGGGCCCGCGGCCUAUCAGCUUGUUGGUGGGGUGACGGCCUACCAAGGCGACGACGGGUAGCCGGCCUGAGAGGGUGUCCGGCCACACUGGGACUGAGAUACGGCCCAGACUCCUACGGGAGGCAGCAGUGGGGAAUAUUGCACAAUGGGCGCAAGCCUGAUGCAGCGACGCCGCGUGGGGGAUGACGGCCUUCGGGUUGUAAACCUCUUUCAGCAGGGACGAAGCGCAAGUGACGGUACCUGCAGAAGAAGCACCGGCCAACUACGUGCCAGCAGCCGCGGUAAUACGUAGGGUGCGAGCGUUGUCCGGAAUUACUGGGCGUAAAGAGCUCGUAGGUGGUUUGUCGCGUUGUUCGUGAAAACCGGGGGCUUAACCCUCGGCGUGCGGGCGAUACGGGCAGACUGGAGUACUGCAGGGGAGACUGGAAUUCCUGGUGUAGCGGUGGAAUGCGCAGAUAUCAGGAGGAACACCGGUGGCGAAGGCGGGUCUCUGGGCAGUAACUGACGCUGAGGAGCGAAAGCGUGGGGAGCGAACAGGAUUAGAUACC
rnacentral:rRNA from 1 species